GGACGGAGACAUUGAGACCAAAAUAGCCCAGACUUGGCAUAUGUCACACGAAACUAUCCUCGAUUUUUCGCUUUUAAUGCAUUUCUUCCACGAUUAAUCGAUAUCCCCUGCAAGAAUGAUACCGUAUAACUCUCAAAACAACGAUGCUUUAAUCAAAGAGCUUAAAUUCGCUCUGAAAUCCGUGAGGGAAUAACAAAAUUCGGCCAAAAUAUAUCCGCGUGCCCGGUUUGCUGUGCGGAAGUCGUUCAACAACUCAAAAACACUCAACCCUGAUUGGACAACGAAUUUCAACAAACAUUUCAAAUUUUUUUAACAAACACAAUGUGAAAUACAAUUUAUUAUACAUAUUAACGUACUACAGUUUUAUAUACUUGCAGUAAUAUUUACACUUUAUAACGUUUGUGAAUAGUUUUGAUUGUAUGAUUGAAAUUAUAACAGUACUGUUAAAAAAAAUUGAAAUGUUUGUUAAAUUCGUUGUCCAAUCAGGGUUGAGUGUUUUUGAGUGUUUUUGAGUUGUUGAACGACUUCCGCUUUUUGCACAGCAAACCGGGCACGCGGAUAUAUUUUGGCCGAAUUUUGUUAUUCCCUCACGGAUUUCAGAGCGAAUUUAAGCUCUUUGAUUAAAGCAUCGUUGUUUUGAGAGUUAUACGGUAUCAUUCUUGCAGGGGAUAUCGAUUAAUCGUAAA